UCAACCUGGUUGAUCCUGCCAGUAGUCAUAUGCUUGUGUUAAAGAUUAAGCCAUGCAUGCCCAAGUAUAAACUGUACAAUGGUGAAACUGCGGACGGCUCCAUAGAUCAGUAAUUGUUCGUUUGGCGAAUUCAACCGUACUUGGAUAACCCUGUUAAUUGUAGAGCUAAUACAUGCACAAAGGACCCGAAAGCG
rnacentral:rRNA from 1 species